rnacentral:rRNA from 1 species
GACGAACGCUGGCGGCGUGCCUAAUACAUGCAAGUAGGACGCAGUUGCGAACGGGUGAGUAACGCGUAGGUAACUACCUAUUAGAGGGGGAUAACUAUUGGAAACGAUAGCUAAUACCGCAUACUAGUAGAUGGACCUGCGUUUUAUUAGCUAGUAGGUAGGGUAAUGGCCUACCUAGGCAAAGAUACAUAGCCGCCCUGAGAAGGUGAUCGGCCAUAAUGGGAAUGAGACACGGCCCAGAUCCCUACGGGAAGCAUCAGUUGGGAAUCGUAGGCAAUGGGGGGAAACCUGACCGAGCAACGCCGCGUGAGUGAAUAAGGUUUUCGGAUCGUAAAGCUUUGUUGUUAAGGAAGCGGUACUUAACCAGAAAGGGACGGCUAACUACGUGCCAGCAGCCGCGGUAAUUC